rnacentral:rRNA from 1 species
GAGUUUGAUCUUGGCUCAGAGCGAACGCUGGCGGCAGGCCUAAUACAUGCAAGUCGAGGGGCAGCACGAUGUAGCAAUACAUUGGUGGCGACCGGCGGACGGGUGCGUAACACGUAUGCAACUUGCCCUAUACUGGGGGAUAGCCCGAAGAAAUUCGGAUUAAUACCCCAUAACAUCAGGAUCAGCAUUGAUCUUGGUUCAGAGUUCCGACGGUAUAGGAUGGGCAUGCGGUCGACUAGCUUGUUGGUGAGGUAACGGCUCACCAAGGCGACGAUCGAUAGGGGGCCUGAGAGGGUGAUCCCCCACACUGGUACUGAGACACGGACCAGACUCCUACGGGAGGCAGCAGUAAGGAAUAUUGGUCAAUGGGCGCAAGCCUGAACCAGCCACGCCGCGUGAAGGAAGACGGCCCUAUGGGUUGUAAACUUCUUUUCUACGGGAAUAAACCUCGGGACGUGUCCCGAGCUGAAGGUAUCGUAGGAAUAAGGAUCGGCUAACUCCGUGCCAGCAGCCGCGGU